rnacentral:rRNA from 1 species
UACGGGGGGGGGCAAGCGUUGUUCGGAAUUACUGGCGUAAAGGGCUCGUAGGCGGCCAACUAAGUCAGACGUGAAAUCCCUCGGCUUAACCGGGGAACUGCGUCUGAUACUGGAUGGCUUGAGGUUGGGAGAGGGAUGCGGAAUUCCAGGUGUAGCGGUGAAAUGCGUAGAUAUCUGGAGGAACACCGGUGGCGAAGGCGGCAUCCUGGACCAAUUCUGACGCUGAAGCACGAAGGCCAGGGGAGCAAACGGGG